UACGAAGGGGGCUAGCGUUGCUCGGAAUCACUGGGCGUAAAGGGUGCGUAGGCGGGUCUUUAAGUCAGGGGUGAAAUCCUGGAGCUCAACUCCAGAACUGCCUUUGAUACUGAGGAUCUUGAGUUCGGGAGAGGUGAGUGGAACUGCGAGUGUAGAGGUGAAAAUUCGUAGAUAUUCGCAAGAACACCAGUGGCGAAGGCGGAGCUCAC
rnacentral:rRNA from 1 species